GGGCAACUGGUACGCUCUAUA
rnacentral:rRNA from 1 species